rnacentral:rRNA from 1 species
AUUGAACGCUGGCGGCAGGCCUAACACAUGCAAGUCGAGCGGAUGAAGGGAGCUUGCUCCUGGAUUCAGCGGCGGACGGGUGAGUAAUGCCUAGGAAUCUGCCUGGUAGUGGGGGAUAACGUCCGGAAACGGGCGCUAAUACCGCAUACGUCCUGAGGGAGAAAGUGGGGGAUCUUCGGACCUCACGCUAUCAGAUGAGCCUAGGUCGGAUUAGCUAGUUGGUGGGGUAAAGGCCUACCAAGGCGACGAUCCGUAACUGGUCUGAGAGGAUGAUCAGUCACACUGGAACUGAGACACGGUCCAGACUCCUACGGGAGGCAGCAGUGGGGAAUAUUGGACAAUGGGCGAAAGCCUGAUCCAGCCAUGCCGCGUGUGUGAAGAAGGUCUUCGGGGUGGGGGGGGGGGGGAGUUGGGAGGAAGGGCAGUAAGUUAAUACCUUGCUGUUUUGACGUUACCAACAGAAUAAGCACCGGCUAACUUCGUG